CGUAGGUGAACCUGCGGAAGGAUCAUUCAUAAUAAGUGUUUUAUGGCACUUUUUUAAAUCCAUAUCCACCUUGUGUGCAAUGUCAGGGUUGAUUUUUCUCUCGAGAGGAUCAGCCCCAAACAUCAACUAUAUCUCAACUCUUUGUCUGAAAAAUAUUAUGCAUAAAACAAUUCAAAAUACAACUUUCAACAACGGAUCUCUUGGCUCUC
rnacentral:misc_RNA from 1 species